UAGACGGUGGCAGUGAGAUUGUGCAG
rnacentral:piRNA from 1 species